rnacentral:hammerhead_ribozyme from 1 species
AUCCAGUUGACGAGUCCCAAAUGAGACGAAACGCGCGUCAUGGAU